CUAACCAGAGCAAGUGAAACUCCCCUAUGUUCUAUAUGUACCUAUAAAAUUAUCGCACAUAGGUGCAUUUAGUGAUUAUGUGAUUGAUAGAGAAUUUGGAACAUGUCACCGUAAUGUUUGAUGCUUAAGUAGAAUGAAAUCUCUAGAAAGUAGAGAACAUAUAUACGUGAAAGUAUUUAUAUUUAUAUUCAAUUCAGUUGAAUGACUUAUAAACAAGUGUAGGAUGCACUUAUAAAGUAGAGAACAAUGACAUUCUUUUGACUCUAAAGUAGAGAACUAUGACAUGCUUUGUGCCAUGAUAGAUUCUAAUGCCAGGUGUAAAUUAGCAUUACUCUCGCAUGCUUACUAAACUAGUGGAUUCUAGUUGUUGUUAAUAUUUGUUAUAUUGAAAUUCCGAUCGAGGAUCGAGACUGAGAACAUUGCAAAUGAAAACAUGAUAAUUGAAACAUGUGGACAGUGGAAUAUGCUUGCUUGCCAUCGUGCUCAUUCGCACACGCUUGUGAGGGUCGCUCCCUACAAGCCGGCACUCCGGAGUUGGCCUACGCGACAGUUGCUCGCCCUUGCGGGACUGGGUGCCGAAGUGGAUUGCUGUGGGGAGUGUACACUACCACGGGGCCAUUAGGCGCGGCACAAGCCGGACUACCUUGGGUAGGUCCUGAUGAAUGAAAGGAAAACUUACUAAAUGACAUGUGACAGUAAUGAAUAUUUUCUAGUUACCGUGUACAGUAGUUCCUUACUCAUUCGUGCUUAUGUUCAUGUUGUAUUCAUGCUUACAGUAGUUGCUAAGCUUUAUGUAUUCAGUUGAUUCAUUACUGUAGAAAGUAUCAUUACAU
rnacentral:lncRNA from 1 species